AUUGAACGCUGGCGGCAGGCUUAACACAUGCAAGUCGAGCGGGGGAAGGUAGCUUGCUACCGGACCUAGCGGCGGACGGGUGAGUAAUGCUUAGGAAUCUGCCUAUUAGUGGGGGACAACAUCUCGAAAGGGAUGCUAAUACCGCAUACGUCCUACGGGAGAAAGCAGGGGAUCUUCGGACCUUGCGCUAAUAGAUGAGCCUAAGUCAGAUUAGCUAGUUGGUGGGAUAAAGGCCUACCAAGGCGACGAUCUGUAGCGGGUCUGAGAGGAUGAUCCGCCACACUGGGACUGAGACACGGCCCAGACUCCUUCGGGAGGCAGCAAUGGGGAAUAUUGGACAAUGGGGGGAACCCUGAUCCAGCCAUGCCGCGUGUGUGAAGAAGGCCUUUUGGUUGUAAAGCACUUUGAGCGAGGAGGAGGCUACUUUAGUUAAUACCUAGAGAUAGUGGACGUUACUCGCAGAAUAAGCACCGGCUAACUCUGUGCCAGCCGCCGCUGUAA
rnacentral:rRNA from 1 species